rnacentral:rRNA from 1 species
UACGAAGGGUGCAAGCGUUGUUCGGAUUUAUUGGGCGUAAAGCGCGCGCAGGCGGGCCUGUAAGUCAGAUGUGAAAUCUCGGGGCUCAACCCCGAACGUGCGUCUGAAACUACAGGUCUAGAAUGCCGAAGAGGGAAGCGGAAUUUCGCAUGUAGGGGUAAAAUCCGUAGAGAUGCGAAGGAACACCAGAGGCGAAGGCGGCUUCCUGGUCGGUUAUUGACGCUGAGGCGCGAAAGCGUGGGGAGCAAACAGG